rnacentral:rRNA from 1 species
UACGAAGGGUGCAAACGUUGCUCGGAAUCAUUGGGCGUAAAGCGCACGUAGGCGCCUUGCAAGUCGGAUGUGAAAUCCCACGGCUCAACCGUGGACGUGCAUCCGAAACUGCUCGGCUCGAGUAUGGAAGAGGGUCGCGGAAUUCCCGGUGUAGAGGUGAAAUGCGUAGAUAUCGGGAGGAACACCAGCGGCGAAGGCGACUUUCUGGCUGCUAACUGACGCUGAGACGCGAAAGCUAGGGGAGCGAACGGG